CCCUUAGAUGUUCUGGGCCGCACGCGCGCUACACUGAUGUAUUCAACGAGUCUAAAACCUGCUCUGAUAGGGGUGGGUAAUCUUUUGAAUGUGCAUCGUGAUUGGGAUAGAUGAUUGCAAUUUUUCAUCUUCAACGAGGAAUGCCUAGUAAACGCAAGUCAUCAGCUUGCAUUGAUUACGUCCCUGCCCUUUGUACACACCGCCCGUCGCUCCUACCGAUUGAAUGAUCCGAUGAAUAUCAUGGAUUGAGGAUGCAAGCAGGUUCGCCUGUCUUCAUCUUCGAGAAGUGAAGUAAAUCUUAUCAUUUAGAGGAAGGAGAAGUCGUAACA
rnacentral:rRNA from 1 species